rnacentral:lncRNA from 1 species
UAUUUUAACUUGGUUUCAUUUGACAUUCUUCCGUUAAAAAUUGAAACAGUGGGGUAUCUGGGUGGCUCAGUGGUUGAGCAUCUACCUUUGCCUCAGGUCAUGGUGCCACAUCAGGCUCCUUGCAAGGAGCCUGCUUCUCCCUCUGCCUAGGUCUCUGCCUCUCUCUGUGUCUCUCAUGAAUAAAUAAAUAAAAUAUUUUUAAAAAUUCAAACAAUAAAAAAGGGCAUGGGGCACCUGGAUGGCUCAGUUGGUUAAGUGUCUGCCUUCAGCUUGGGGCAUGAUCUUGAAGUCCUGGGAUCAAGCCCCACAUCAAGUUCCCUGUUCCGUGGGGAGCCUGCUUCAACCUCUCCCUCUAUUCUCAAUCUCUCUCUCUCUCAAAUAAAUAAAUAAAACCUUAAAAAAAAAAAAAAAAAAAAAAAGAAGGUAUAGGGACACCUGGCUGGCUCAGCGAUUAAGUGUCUGCCUUUGGCUCAGGUUGUGAUCCUGGGCCCAGAGACGGAGUCCCACAUCGGGCUUCUUGCAUGGAGCCUGCUUCUCCCUCUAUAUCUCUGCCUCUCUCUGUAUGUUACUCAUGAAUAAAUAAAUAACUCUUUAAAAAUAAAUAAAAAUUAAAAAGGGUUAAAAGAAAACAUAUUCCUCUACCCUUAAUUCAGCUGCUGUAGCCUCUGCUUAGUUCUUCUCUCUCCAAAAAUCAACAAUCUGUAAGUCUGGGGGCGGGACUGCAGGGUACUUUCUUUUUGUGCUUUUCUGAAAUUUCUAAUGUUUCUCAAUAAGCCUAUAUUACUAAGGAAAUAAGAAAAGUAAAUACCCUUUUUAAGUGCUCAGAAUUCAGAAAGGCCUCGAACCUCCUCCCUUCCUUCCACUCUACAGAAACAGGCUUGGCCUUCCUCUGCCAGGGUUUCCCUGCACACCACCCUCCCGCACCCCCCAGGGAGCACCCUCCUUGGGUGAGGAGGGGACAGAGCCCACAUUUCUAAGUUCCAGGGAAGGCCUCUAGUUCCAUUUCUAAUAAAAUCCUCCUCCCUCACCUCCUGCUCUGACUUGGUCGCCUCCACCCUUCCUCCCUCUCUACACCUCCAACAUCAGAUUGGAGGGUGGCACCAGGGUUCAGAGGAAGCCUGUAGUCCAGUGGAUGCUUCAGAGGGACUGAACACAGGGAUUCUCAUCCUUCCUCAGAGUCUCUAGAAACAGACCCGAAAAACAGACAGGCAGAAAAAGAAGCCUCCUGAAGAAUUCCUCUUUCGCAAGAGCCCAGGUUAAAAACAACAGGCCUUGUUAAAACCGUACCUUAAUGAGGCUCCUUCCCAGCCUAAUUGUCGCCAUGGCAAUGACCCCUAGCAGCCAUCUUUAAUUAACUCAGCGUCGGAGUCACCAAAUGAGCUCCUCUAGCAAAUUGCCCGCCAGCCCAGGCAGUCACGCGGCCCCUCCUCUGUCCUUUGGCCUCCGGCAGGGCUUUCUUCUUUACCUUCUGAUUCUCCCUGGCGGCGCCAGGGGAGGGACCCAGACCCAUGGCAACACUAACAAUAACAACAGCAGCAGUAGUAGUAAUAAUCAUAGCGUAUCAACAUAUGCAUUGCUAAUGCAUAUAAUCAAGCGUUUUAUAUGUGUUACCUCUUUUAAUCCUACACUGUGAAUCCUAAAGAUUCACAGGAAUCAUACAAGGGAUGCACCAUUACUACCCACUACCUUUUCAGAUGAGGAAACUGAGGCACAGAGAGACUAAGCCAGGGAGUGGGAGGGCUGGAAUUUAAACACAGGCCCUGUGGGGGUCCCUGGGUGGGUCAGUCCAUUAAGUGUGUGACUUUUGCUCAGGUCACGAUCUCAGGGUCCUGG